GUAACCUUAGGGAAAAGAAAAACAAAACCCUAAAUAACAUUAAUAUACCUAAGUUAGAAGUAAUUUUGAUGGGCCUAGAAGUCUCAUAGUUGGCAAUCCCAUUAUCAGUAUUCCCAUCUUAAGCAAGAACCUUGUCCUAAAGGUUCAUUGAAGGAGAUGGUGAGUCAUAGAUGGCUAACGUGGAUGGUGGGAACAAAUGGUUGAUGACAACACAUGAUUCCUUAAGAGAAGUGUUGGAGUUCAAAACCGUGGGUGCUAGUGGUUUUGGAAGGGUGGUAUUGUCUUAGUGGGAGAGAAAGAGACAUUGGAUGUGAGAGCCAGUUAUAAAAGAGUUAUUGAUGUCUCCCAAGGAAAGUGGUUGAGAACGGGAGAAUGGUGAGUGCUCACGUGGCGAUGUGGUAGAUGUUGGAGAUCGGGAAAGAUUAUCCAACAUAGGAGAAAUGGUUAGAGUAUAUGGGGUAAGGGUUUCGAUUUGGAUGGUGGGGAUGAGUGCAACUUUUGAGGAGGGAGGGGAACUCAAAGAGAUUUUUGUACUUGGGAUUUCAAUUAACACUUCAGAAGUGUUUGGAAAGAUAGAGGGUUGGGUUGGUUUCUUGUGGUCGACUAAGAGAGAGUCAAGAGUUGUGGGAGAGUUUUGGGGUUUAUGGUCAUUGGAGGUGGUCAGAGGGAGGUGGUCAUUGGAGGUGGCCAGCUUCUGUGAGGAUCGACAAUGGAAUGAAGAUUGACAAUAGGGUUGAAGGUGGAUCUAUACCCAAUCCCCUUCAACAAAGAUCUAAUGCCAGAAUUGGAACUGAAGCUAAACCAGGGACAUAUUCUGGAAGAGCAAGGGGAGGGAGACCAGAAAGGGAUUUAAAGGGUGUCAUCCCUAUGACAGAAUGAUGAGUUGUAUUAUGCCAAUAUUCUACUAGAUGUAAAUACUUGAACCAUGAACGAGUGUGCUCAAUAGCAAAACAUCUUAAAUAGGCUUCUAAUGUUCAAUUAACUACCUUUAUCUAUCCAUUUAUUUAAUGGUGGUAUAUGAUGUUGAACUUGAGAA